UACGGAGGGUGCGAGCGUUAGUCGGAAUUACUGGGCGUAAAGGGUGCGUAGGUGGUUUAUUAAGUUAUCUGUAAAAUCCCUGGGCUUAACCUGGGCAGGUCAGAUGAGACUGGUAGACUAGAGUAUAGGAGAGGGUAGUGGAAUUUCCGGUGUAGCGGUGAAAUGCGUAGAGAUCGGAAGGAACACCAGUGGCGAAGGCGGCUACCUGGCCAGAUACUGACACUGAGGCACGAAAGCGUGGGGAGCAAACAGG
rnacentral:rRNA from 1 species